AGUGUUUGAAAGUGAGGACAUUUCUGGCCACAUUCCUGUUCAUUUCCCAUUUUCGUUCUUGUUUGUUCGAGAAAGGGAGAACACUUCUGGCCACAUUCCUGGGCAUUUCCAUUUUUCGUGAUUGUUUCUCGAUAAAGGGUUUGAAAGGGAGAACACUUCUGGCCACAUUCCUCGGCAUUUCCAUUUUUCGUGAUUGUUUCUCGAGAAAGUGUUUGAAAAAGAGGGCAUUUCUGGCCACGUUCCUGGGCAUUUCCCAUUUUCGUUCCUGUUUCUUCGAGAAAG